rnacentral:lncRNA from 1 species
AAAAACAUUACCGUCACAUGUAUUGUAGCAACUAGAGAGAGCUAGGGGUUUUUGAAAACAAGGUGAAAAUUGUGAAAUGUUUUCAAAACCUAUUAAUCACGUUUUUUACAAGUGACAAAAAAUAUUUUCUCCAUUUGUUGGCCACAUGGCAACUUUCUAUUGGCAACUUACUUUUCACAAGGAUGUGUGUUUGUUUGAAAAAUUAUGGGCCAUUGAUCAAAAUGGAGGAUUGAGAUUAGCUUCAACUUUUCUCUCAUUUAUUGAAAUGGACGGCAGGAGAGAGAAGAACAAGACUUUCACUUUCUCUUGAUUUUUCUUCCAAAAAAUGGCAGACUUCUUUCUUCUCUCUCUCCCCUUGGUGUUUUUUAGUUCUACCAAGUAAAAGUUUUAGAUUUGAUUCUAGAUGAUUUUCCAGCCAUAUUUCUGUAGUGAGGCCAAUAUUCUGAGCCGCCGAUCUGGUGGUUAUUUUACAGUUGGCUGAUCGGUAUUUUGUGUUUUCAGGCAACG